rnacentral:rRNA from 1 species
UACGUAGGGCGCAAGCGUUGUCCGGAAUUAUUGGGCGUAAAGAGCUCGUAGGCGGUCUGUCGCGUCUGCUGUGAAAUCUCAGGGCUUAACCCUGAGCGUGCAGUGGGUACGGGCAGACUAGAGUGCGGUAGGGGAGACUGGAAUUCCUGGUGUAGCGGUGAAAUGCGCAGAUAUCAGGAGGAACACCCGUAGCGAAGGCGGCUCUCUGGGACGGUACUGACGCUGAGACGCGAAAGCGUGGGGAGCGAACAGG